rnacentral:rRNA from 1 species
CUACGUGCCAGCAGCCGCGGUAAUACGUAGGUGGCAAGCGUUGUCCGGAUUUAUUGGGCGUAAAGCGAGCGCAGGCGGUUAGAUAAGUCUGAAGUUAAAGGCUGUGGCUUAACCAUAGUACGCUUUGGAAACUGUUUAACUUGAGUGCAAGAGGGGAGAGUGGAAUUCCAUGUGUAGCGGUGAAAUGCGUAGAUAUAUGGAGGAACACCGGUGGCGAAAGCGGCUCUCUGGCUUGUAACUGACGCUGAGGCGCGAAAGCCAGGGGAGCGAACGGGAUUAGAUACCCCGGUAGUCCUGGCCGUAAACGAUGGGUACUAGGUGUAGGAGGUAUCGACCCCUUCUGUGCCGGAGUUAACGCAAUAAGUACCCCGCCUGGGGAGUACGACCGCAAGGUUGAAACUCAAAGGAAUUGACGGGGGCCCGCACAAGCGGUGGAGUAUGUGGUUUAAUUCGACGCAACGCGAAGAACCUUACCAGGUCUUGACAUUGAUGGACAGAACUAGAGAUAG